rnacentral:rRNA from 1 species
GGUUGAUCCUGCCAGUAGUCAUACGCUCGUCUCAAAGAUUAAGCCAUGCAUGUCUAAGUAUAAAUACUUUUACUUUGAAACUGCGAACGGCUCAUUAUAUAAGUUUUGAUUUAUUUGAUAGUCCCUUACUACUUGGAUAACCGUAGUAAUUCUAGAGCUAAUACAUGCGUCAAUACCCUUCUGGGGUAGUAUUUAUUAGAAAGAAACCAACCCCUUCGGGGUGAUGUGGUGAAUCAUAAUAAGCUUGCGGAUCGCACGGCUUUUGCUGGCGAUGGAUCAUUCAAGAUUCUUC